AUUGGGCAAAUGAUGAACCUGAAAUUGUGUAAAUGGGUAAUUUGCAUCUGAAUAUGGUUGAUGUUAAUAUAACCUUGGAGAACUGAUGCCCUAA